rnacentral:rRNA from 1 species
AUUGAACGCUGGCGGCAUGCCUUACACAUGCAAGUCGAACGGCAGCACGGGAGCAAUCCUGGUGGCGAGUGGCGAACGGGUGAGUAAUAUAUCGGAACGUGCCCAGUCGUGGGGGAUAACGUAGCGAAAGCUACGCUAAUACCGCAUACGAUCUAUGGAUGAAAGCGGGGGAUCGCAAGACCUCGCGCGAUUGGAGCGGCCGAUAUCAGAUUAGGUAGUUGGUGGGGUAAAAGCCUACCAAGCCUUCGAUCUGUAGCUGGUCUGAGAGGACGACCAGCCACACUGGAACUGAGACACGGUCCAGACUCCUACGGGAGGCAGCAGUGGGGAAUUUUGGACAAUGGGCGAAAGCCUGAUCCAGCCACGCCGCGUGCAGGAUGACGGUCCUAUGGAUUGUAAACUGCUUUUGUCAGAGACGAAAGUGUAUGAUUUAUCAUAUUUUGACGGUAUCUGGCGAAUAAGCACCGGCUAACUACG